rnacentral:rRNA from 1 species
GUAGGGUGCGAGCGUUGUCCGGAUUUAUUGGGCGUAAAGGGCUCGUAGGCGGCUUGUCGCGUCGGGAGUGAAAGCCCGCUGCUUAACGGCGGGUUUGCUUUCGGUACGGGCAGGCUGGAGUACGGCAGGGGAGACUGGAAUUCCUGGUGUAGCGGUGGAAUGCGCAGAUAUCAGGAGGAACACCGGUGGCGAAGGCGGGUCUCUGGGCCGUUACUGACGCUGAGGAGCGAAAGCGUGGGGAGCGAACAGGAUUAGAUACCCUGGUAGUCCACGCUGUAAACGUUGGGCGCUAGGUGUGGGGCCUGUUUCCACGGGUUCCGUGCCGCAGCUAACGCAUUAAGCGCCCCGCCUGGGGAGUACGGCCGCAAGGCUA